AACGAACGCUGGCGGCAGGCUUAACACAUGCAAGUCGAGCGCCCCGCAAGGGGAGCGGCAGACGGGUGAGUAACGCGUGGGAAUCUACCUUUUGCUACGGAAUAACUCAGGGAAACUUGUGCUAAUACCGUAUGUGCCCUUCGGGGGAAAGAUUUAUCGGCAAAGGAUGAGCCCGCGUUGGAUUAGCUAGUUGGUGGGGUAAUGGCCUACCAAGGCGACGAUCCAUAGCUGGUCUGAGAGGAUGAUCAGCCACACUGGGACUGAGACACGGCCCAGACUCCUACGGGAGGCAGCAGUGGGGAAUAUUGGACAAUGGGCGCAAGCCUGAUCCAGCCAUGCCGCGUGAGUGAUGACGGCCCUAGGGUUGUAAAGCUCUUUCGCAGGUGAAGAUAAUGACGGUAACCUGAGAAGAAGCCCCGGCUAACUUCGUGCCAGCCGCCGCUGUAAAAC
rnacentral:rRNA from 1 species